rnacentral:tRNA from 1 species
GCCACCGUAGCUCAGUUGGCAGAGCAGACGAUUCGUAAUCGUCAGGUCAUGGGUUCGACUCCCAUCGGUGGCUCUA